CCAGUGAACCUUUACUAUAGCUUUGCACUGGACUUUGAAUUUGCUUGUGUAGGAUAGGUGGGAGGCUUUGUAGCGUGGACGCCAGUCUGCGUGGAGCCAUCCUUGAAAUACCA
rnacentral:rRNA from 1 species